rnacentral:rRNA from 1 species
UACGUAGGUGGCAAGCGUUGUCCGGAUUUAUUGGGUUUAAAGGGUGCGUAGGUGGCCCUGUAAGUCAGUGGUGAAAUAUCUCAGCUUAACUGAGAGGGUGCCAUUGAUACUGCAGGGCUUGAGUACAGAUGAGGUAGGCGGAAUUGACGGUGUAGCGGUGAAAUGCAUAGAUAUCGUCAAGAACACCGAUAGCGAAGGCAGCUUACCAAGCUGUAACUGACACUGAGGCACGAAAGCGUGGGGAGCAAACAGGAUUAGAAACCCUUGUAGU